rnacentral:rRNA from 1 species
AUUGGACGCUGGCGGCAUGCCUUACACAUGCAAGUCGAACGGCAGCACGGGAGCAAUCCUGGUGGCGAGUGGCGAACGGGUGAGUAAUAUAUCGGAACGUGCCCAGUCGUGGGGGAUAACGCAGCGAAAGCUGUGCUAAUACCGCAUACGAUCUAAGGAUGAAAGCGGGAGAUCGCAAGACCUCGCGCGAUUGGAGCGGCCGAUAUCAGAUUAGCUAGUUGGUGGGGUAAAGGCCCACCAAGGCGACGAUCUGUAGCUGGUCUGAGAGGACGACCAGCCACACUGGAACUGAGACACGGUCCAGACUCCUACGGGAGGUAGCAGUGGGUAAUUUUGGACAAUGGGCGCAAGCCUGAUCCAGCAAUGCCGCGUGCAGGAUGAAGGCCUUCGGGUUGUAAACUGCUUUUGUACGGAACGAAACGGCCCUUUCUAAUACAGGGGGCUAAUGACGGUACCGUAAGAAUAAGCACCGGCUAACUACGUGCCAGCCGCCGCCGUAA